UGAUGAUGAUGAUGAUGAUGAUGAUGAUGAUGAUGAUGAUGGUGAUGAUGAUGAUGAUGAUGAUGAUGAUGAUGCACUGCGCCGAGAGAAGUUGCUAGACAAGUGUGGAGCGAGUGCUUUUUUGAAAGCGUGGGGAAGUUUUUUUCAUUGCGAGAGCGUACGUCGCGAUCUGCAGCGGUGGUUGAUCGCGAUUAAUCCACGCUUGCUCUCGUAGAAGAGAAGGCAGAUUACUCCUGAGGCAGACGCGGACGUAAACUUACGUUUGGAAAAGUCUACUUAAAUUUGGAGAGGUCUACUGGCCUGGAGAUGUUAACUGAUGACAAGCUGCGAACAAUUAAAAUUCGAUUAUCUGUUGAACAUCGCAUGUGAGGACUUUGAAUAUAAUGUGGAGCAUACGACAAACAUUAAAGACGAACGUCGAAUCACAAAUAAAGCUGCAUAUUAUAUAUCAUGAAUAUUAUAUUGUAAACAUUUUUAUUUUUUUGUAUAUGUUUUGUGUCUUUAUAUGUGUGUA